rnacentral:rRNA from 1 species
UGGGGAAUAUUGCGCAAUGGGGGAAACCCUGACGCAGCCAUGCCGCGUGUGUGAAGAAGGCCCUCGGGUUGUAAAGCACUUUCAAAUUGGGAGAAAAAGCUUGUCGUUAAUAGCGGCAAGCCUUGAUGUUACCUUUAGAAGAAGCACCGGCUAACUCCGUGCCAGCAGCCGCGGUAAUACGGAGGGGGUUAGCGUUGUUCGGAAUUACUGGGCGUAAAGCGCACGUAGGCGGACCAGAAAGUUGGGGGUGAAAUCCCGGGGCUCAACCCCGGAACUGCCUCCAAAACUAUUGGUCUAGAGUUCGAGAGAGGUGAGUGGAAUUCCAAGUGUAGAGGUGAAAUUCGUAGAUAUUUGGAGGAACACCAGUGGCGAAGGCGCCUAACUGGUCCGGUACUGACGCUGAGGAACGAAAGCGUGGGGAGCAAACAGGAUUAGAUACCCUGGUAGUCCAUGCCGUAAAACGUUGGGCACUAGGUGUGGGUCUCAACCAACGAGAUCCGCGCCGUCGCUAACGCAUUAAGUGCCCCGCCUGGGGAGUACGGUCGCAAGAUUAAAACU